rnacentral:rRNA from 1 species
UACGGUAGGGGGCAAGCGUUGUCCGGAAUCAUUGGGCGUAAAGCGCGUGUAGGCGGCCCGGUAAGUCCGCUGUGAAAGUCCAGGGCUCAACCCUGGGAUGCCGGUGGAUACUGUCGGGCUCGAGUCCGGAAGAGGCGAGUGGAAUUCCGUGGUGUAGCGGUGAAAUGCGCAGAUAUCAGGAGGAACACCGAUGGCGAAGGCAGCUCGCUGGGACGUGACUGACGCUGAGACGCGAAAGCGUGGGGAGCAAACAGG